rnacentral:rRNA from 1 species
AGUGAACGCUGGCGGCGUGCCUAAUACAUGCAAGUCGAACGAACGAAUAAGAGCUUGCUCUUAUAAGUUAGUGGCGCACGGGUGAGUAAUAUAUAGCUAAUCUGCCUCUUAGUAGAGGAUAACAGUCGGAAACGAUUGCUAAUACCCUAUACUUCCGCUUUACAUAUGUAAAGUAGAGAAAGUUUUUCGCUAAGAGAUGAGGCUAUACUGUAUCAGCUAGUUGGUAAGGUAACGGCUUACCAAGGCUAUGACGCAUAACUGGUCUGAGAGGAUGAUCAGUCUCGUUGGAAGUGAGACACCGGACAAACUCCGACGGGAGGCAGCAGUAAGGAAUAUUGCGGAAUGGGAGAAACCCUGACGAAGCAACGCCGCGUGGAGGAUGACACUUUUCGGAGCGUAAACUCCUUUUAUCGGGAAAGAAUAAUGACGGUACCCGAUGAAUAAGCACCGGCUAACUCCGUG